GCCUAGUCCUAAAUAGAAAUCACAACAAUACUAUAGUUUUCGCCAGGGUACUACGAGCUUUAGCUUAAAACCCAAAGGACUUGGCGGUGCUUUAGACCCCCCUAGAGGAGCCUGUUCUAUAACCGAUACUCCCCGUUCAACCUCACCCCCUCUUGUUCUUCCCGCCUAUAUACCGCCGUCGUCAGCCCACCCUGUGAAGGUUAAAUAGUAAGCAAAACUGGCAAAGCCCAAAACGUCAGGUCGAGGUGUAGCGUACGAGGGGGGAAGAAAUGGGCUACAUUUUCUGACCCAGCAAACACGAAUGAUUAGUACUGAAAAAGCAUCUGAAGGAGGAUUUAGUAGUAAGGAGGGAGCAUGGUGCCCACCUGAAAACGGCCCUGAAGCGCGC
rnacentral:rRNA from 1 species